AGUUAUUUGGAUUUAGCCAAUCAUGUGUAGUAUCUGUUCUUAUCAGUUUAAUAUUUGAUAUGUUCUCUAAAGGAAGACAUUAUAUUAAACAGAUUUUUAGAACAGGGAGCUGGAAUAAGGGCUUGCUCUUUCUACUCCAUGCAUCAACCUGGUAUUGCAGUACUUCGGGUGGCACGGUGGUGUAGUGGUU